ensembl:lncRNA
GGAGAUGAAAAGGCCAAGUGACUGUCUCUCUUCUCCUGGCCUGCAAACACCACGGCAUCAGGAACUGCAGCCUCAUUGCCUAGCACGUAACCGGCCUUAGUAAAUGCUGAAUAUGUAUCUAUUGGGUGAAUAAAUGAAGUAGGGCCAGUCCCUGGCAAAGAUGUCAAUAAAUAGAUAGCUGAUCAAUAGUUUGCAAAAUUAAGGCCUCAGAAGUAUGAACAACUCCCUUAAAGUCUGUCUAAGUUCCCCAUUCUCUUGUUCACUGGCAGUCUUUCAGGUCUGGAAUAGGGCCAUGUUACUCGCCACCACAGGGUCUUUCCCCACGAUGCUGUUUGCUCUGCCUGGGCUGACCACUCCUGUGUUGGAAAGGAUUGAAAACUGUGUGAGCCGCUGCCCCAGAGGCCUCCCAGGCCAGAGAGUCAACGUGAAUGAGUGAAGCUGGAAGUGAACGUCCCAUCCACGAAGACAGGGUGUGUGUUCUGCACUGCCCGCCGAAGCCAGUACUCAGGACGCGGAAUGGGUGCCAUGUAGGGGAGUGGAGUCAGUGUUGCCAAGGACUCUUUUUCAAAAUUAAAUCUUUUAUUUCUUAGGCCUAAAGGUGAAAACAUGGAGGUGAAAAUACAGAGUAGCAUCAGCAGUAAAAACAUUCACCUAAAAGAUAGUGGAAUGGUAAAAGUACGAAAAAGCAAUCAACGACAUGUGAUAACAUGAGAACCUGGGACAUUGAUCCACCACCCUUGAAAGUGUUGAACGUAGUAUGUGUUUCAUAUUCAGGUCUCCGGGAAUGUUGAUAUGGCUUAUGAUGCUUAAGAAUUAAUUUGUUUUUAUUAUUUUUUUCUUCCUCUAUCAGAUUUCCAAAUUGUAAUGAUUACACUACAGUUGGUUGAGGCCACUCUUACAUUUGGUUUGGAAUAUGAUGAUUCAUUUACAGCAGCUAUCAAAUUCCUGCCCGAUAUGUAGGGAAAUCUUCUGGCCAGCAGACAGCACAUGUUGUACACAUUGUAUCAACCACACAAGAUAACAGACUACCUCAUUUUCAUUGCCAGCUGCCCUAUGCAAACACUCUCCUGGAGUUAUGUGCCAUAUAACUAGGGUUAUUAUUAAAAUCUGUAUUCUUGAAGAAAUCGCUUUGUUUUCAAAGAGUUGCUUGCCAGAGAAGGAGAACAACAUUAAUAAUACAGGAUAGGCCAUCAUUUGGACAGUUCCCUUGGUGGUCAAUUACAGCUGGCAUCCUAGGGUGAGCAGCAUCUGUUACACAGACUUCAAGUUUUCUUCUCAUAAUAGAAGAUCGAGAAGCUGUUGAAUGCACUUUGGGACUCUGCUCGUGUUCCGUAGGUGGCAUUUUCAAAGCUGAGCUCUUGCCAAUCACCUUGUGUUAAUCUUUUAAAAUUUUUUCUUUUUUAAAAUAUGAGGUUUUCUGUGGCUGCCAAGAGGAUUUUAUGACACAGAAGAGUCCGCACAUGUCUUUUUGUGAAAUUAUCUCAAGUGCUUAUGAGCAACUUAAAAUUCCAGAGGAGACAACGUUUAUUGAGUUCAGAGCUCUCAACCAGGUGCUGUGGAAGGAUAUAAAAGAGAGAAAAGUUUGUUUAUCAUGCCUCACAGGAGCUAGCACCAGAGAUGUCUGAUAGUGGUUAGUUUAGUUUUGAUUAGGACAUGAUUGUUAUGUUGGUAUAUAAAGAAAAUUACCCAAAACCCAUUUUCAUAAUACCAAGUAAUGAUUGUACUUUAUCACAACACCACUGUCCUGUAAUCUUAACAUUAUUGCCUUAUCCAUCAUGCCAAUAGCAUUAUUUUCAUAUCCUACCUCUCUGUUAUUUCCACUGUCAAACAAGGCAACAAAUAAAUUAAGCUGCCUUGAACUUUCUUUGGGCAAAAGUAUACAACAACUGACUUUAUUCCUCUUUAACUUAAAUAUGUUCUAAAUUCAGAAUUAGUUCUUUGAUGUUUGAAUGCGG